rnacentral:rRNA from 1 species
AAACUCAAAGGAAUUGACGGGGAGCACCACAACGGGUUGGAGCCUUGCGGUUUAAUUGGACUCAACGCCGGGCAGCUCACCGGAUAAGACAGCUGGAUGAUAGCCGGGCUGAAGACUCUGCUUGACUAGCUGAGGAGGAGGUGCAUGGCCGUCGUCAGUUCGUACUGUGAAGCAUCCUGUUAAGUCAGGCAACGAGCGAGACCCACGCCCACAGUUGCCAGCGUACUCUCCGGAGUGACGGGUACACUGUGGGACCGCCGCUGCUAAAGCGGAGGAAGGAAUGGGCAACGGUAGGUCAGUAUGCCCCGAAUAUCCCGGGCUACACGCGAGCUACAAUGGUUGGUACAAUGGGUAUCUACCCCGAAAGGGGACGGGAAUCUCCUAAAACCAAUCUUAGUUCGGAUUGAGGGCUGCAACUCGCCCUCAUGAAGCUGGAAUCCGUAGUAAUCGCGUUUCAACAGAACGCGGUGAAUACGUCCCUGCUCCUU